rnacentral:rRNA from 1 species
UACGAACCGUCCAAACGUUAUUCGGAAUCACUGGGCUUAAAGAGUCUGUAGGCGGCUGAGAAAGUAGGGUGUGAAAUCCCACGGCUUAACCGUGGAACUGCGCCCUAAACUACUCAGCUUGAGGGAGCUAGAGGUAAGCGGAACUGAUGGUGGAGCGGUGAAAUGCGUUGAUAUCAUCAGGAACACCGGAGGCGAAGGCGAGUCCCUGGACAACUCCUGACACUGAUGCACGAAAGCUAGGGGAGCAAACAGG